UGCAUCCCGGAUGACAUCCUGGCUCCCUCUACUGAACCUUUGUGUGGAUACCUGCCAAUGUUACCCAAUUUUUGUCUUGAUGUG